GCCUUCUUAGCUCAGCUGGCAGAGCGUAUCCCUCGUAACCCUGUGCAAGGGUGCCUGCGAGGAUAAGGUCGUCGGUUCGAUUCCGGCAGAAGGCA